rnacentral:snRNA from 1 species
CCACCCUAAACUUUUAGGCACU